rnacentral:lncRNA from 1 species
AAGCACAGUAAAACUAACAGCUACAAUUGGAGGCUUCAAAGGACUGGUCACCAUUGCCAAAGUCUGAUAGUUAGAGAGACAAAGGCAGGACAGAAUUGCAGAAAACAGAUAGUUAAAAUAAGAACAGGAAAUUACCACAAGUCCGGAAACAGCAGUAGCUACCUCCACUUCAGAUUCUGGGACUGAAACCUGACGUUCUGCCUGUUCCAUAGACUUCGAUACAGAUUGCUCUGCCUACUCCGCAGGUGCCAAAACUAUAGUAGAAUGUUCUACCUCUGCAUCAUCAAAAAGCGCCAACUCCAAACUGGUCAGUUCUGCCCCU